AACACUUUUGUUAUAUAUUAAGGUAACGCCCGACCCAUUAACCCAAGUCCAUCCCUUUUAAAGACAUUUUUGAUUUUGUGAAGCAUGAGUGAGGUUGAGCGACAGCAACUACUGACCGACGAUGGCGAAGGCGACAGAUUCUCAUUAUCUCAGGAUUAAUCUGAAGAGAAAAUGAAGAAAUUUGAAGCCAAAAUGAAUUAAAAAUAAAAGAUUGAAGAAGGAAAUCAAGCAGCCAGAUUAAUGGAUUAAAUUAAAUAUUAUACUAUUAUUUAUGUAUGUAUGAUGCAAAGCGAAAAAAAAAAGAUGUGAAUUUUGAGUUACUGCCACGUGACAGUCAUCAGAGCAACAACAAAUUGAAGUGGCGCACAUGCAGUAACCAAUUUUUUUUUGGGUUUUGGUUUCUCAAUUAGUUUUGGACUCAGCUAUUUUAUUUGGGUUUUUUUCCUACACCUAUAAAUAUUCCAUAAAAUUAGUUUUGAGAAAAUUAACUUUUAACUUUUGA